rnacentral:piRNA from 1 species
UUGAUAACAUGUCUGCAAGUGAACUCUAUA